rnacentral:rRNA from 1 species
CGUUAGCGGCGGACGGGUGAGUAACACGUGGGUAACCUACCUAUAAGACUGGGAUAACUUCGGGAAACCGGAGCUAAUACCGGAUAAUAUUUCGAACCGCAUGGUUCGAUAGUGAAAGAUGGUUUUGCUAUCACUUAUAGAUGGACCUGCGCCGCAUUAGCUAGUUGGUAAGGUAACGGCUUACCAAGGCGACGAUACGUAGCCGACCUGAGAGGGUGAUCGGCCACACUGGAACUGAGACACGGUCCAGACUCCUACGGGAGGCAGCAGAA